rnacentral:lncRNA from 1 species
CUUUGAGAGCUACGAUUGCAAACCGAAUUGUACUUGUAUAGUUACUAGACUUAUCCAAGUGGGAGACUGUUGGAAUAGUGUCUAAGGCUGUAACUAUAUUAGGCAAGUAUUUGACCCGGUUGUGCAUGGUCCUUUUGGGUUGCCUUCACCAUAGCAACUUGACAGGAUGAUUUAUUAUGAGAGAAGAAAUAUUAUUAAUAUAUUAUGAGAAUAAUAUAAGGAAUAAUAAUAUUAUUAUUUGAUUAAUAUAAGUCAUAAAUUAAUUAGGAAUUAAUUUGGUGGCGUAAAGAGAUUAAUUGAAUAAAGGGGCAUAAACUGUCAAUUGUUUGAUAGUUAAACUUUGGGCUAUAAAUCCCUUAUGGAUAAGGGGGGACGAUUUUGGGGCUUAGGAUAGCCAUAGAAAUCAUCCAAAGGCUUAUCAACUAGGGUAUUGGAUUGCUUAGGGCCUAAGUUAUCCAAUUAGGGUUUAAGGGUGAAACCCUAGGAGCCUUACAAGUAUAAAUAGACCCCAAGGGUUAAGGAAAUCGGUACUUGUGUUUUAGAAAGAAACCCUGGCCGAUUUUGAUCCCCUCUCCUCUCUCUCAAAUCAUCCUCUUGCUAGUUGGUGAUUGUAAGCCAUUAGAGGAGUGACAAUUGUGACUCUAAAGCUCCAAGGACAAGAAGAUCAAGCAAGUGAUUCAAGGUAAACUUCUAAUUCUGAUUUCUUGUUGUUUUCAUACUCUUUUAGCCAUUAUAAAUUUUGGAUUUAAUGUAUGUUCAAUUAGAGAAACCUAGAUCCAAGUAUUAGGGUUGCAUGUGCACAUAGGAAUGUUCAUAUGGCCAAAACCCAUCACAUAGCAGGGUUGUUCUCCUGAAACAACAAAUGAGAGGAUUAUUGGGUUUUACCUAAAGGUUCAAUCCUAUUUCUUAUUUAUAGCGUACUUAUAGUUGCUCUCUUAGCAACUUGUCUUCUUAUCACUUUUACUAUUAUUUUCUAAUUAGGAUUUUUGUAUUUUUAUUGUUGAUAUUACAUCUUUUGGUUGCGUUCCUUGCAACAUUUUGAUAAUAGCAUGCUAUUGUUUCUUCCCUAGAAACUUACCAAUUAUAGCAUGUUGUUGUUGCUUCCCUAGCAACUUAUUGUUACUUCCCUAGCAACUUACCAAUUAUAGCAUGUUGGUGUUGCUUUCCUAGCAACUUACUGUUGUUUCCCUAACAACUUACUGAUCAUAUCAUGUUGUCGUUGCUUUCCUAGCAACUUACUGUUGUUUCCCUAACAACUUAUUGAUCAUAGCAUGUUGUCGUUGCUUUCCUAGCAACAUACUGUUGUUUCCAUAACAACUUACUGAUCAUAGCAUGUUUUCAUUGCUUUCCUAGCAACUUAUUGUUGUUUCCCUAACAACUUACUGAUCAAAACAUGCUGCCGUUGCUUUCCUAUAUACUCAGUUUUGGGUUUAAUUCAUCUAAUGAUUCUCAAUUUGAUUUUUAAUUUUUUUUGAAUAUUUUGAACUAAAAAUUGGAAUUUGGAUGAAAUGUGAAGCAUAUACGUGUUCUAGAGGACUACCCGAACAUCCUUAAAUGAUUUUUAGGUUGAAAAUGGACGAAACAACAUGUUUCCAUGUCUGCUGUUCUUUGUGUUCUUGGGGCGCGCCGUAUAGAUUCAUUUGUAUCGCGUUCACUCACAUGCAAUGCGCAUUUGGCGCGUCUUCCCUACUUAAAUCCCCUCUUCAUUUUAAGUUAUCCUAACUUAAUUCUAACUGCUUCCUUGCCUUAUUUUGUUGCAGAUAUGUCGAGACAGGGUCGUUAAGUUGUGGGUCAGUUACCUCCUAACUGGUCGACACAUCCUUUCUUAAAGUUCCCUGAUGACCUUCCCGAUCGGAGUACUUUCAUUUCUCCCCUCAUUUCCCUUUUGUCCAAGAAGAUCAUCUUUCCUCAGUCUCUUCCUGGGAAUGUGGUGGAUAGCACUGGCUUGUCUGCUCAGCUAGCACCAUUCCAUACCUGAUCACUUCGGGAUGAUAGCGGUCUCGAGCUUUUUUUCUGCCACAGGUGGCGGCGAGUUAUCAGGAUUUGGGAGGUGAUCUACCAGGAGCUCUAUUGGGAGUUCUUUUUGACGGUCAACUACGACAAGGAAUCGAGGCUCUAGGCCGAUCAUUAAGUGUUUUCUUUUUGCCUAUGCAGCGUAUCCCACUCUUGCAGCCUCAUCGAGCCAGGGAGGCAUAUAGGAAUUUAAAUUAAUGAGGAGACUAUGAGUCCUCAUUUUAAUGCAUUUUUGGACAAUUGUAUCACUGCUCCUCCACAGGAGUAUGACUUUAUGCAGGUUUGGGCCCAUGCUUGGAGGACCUAUGUCUCCUCGUUGGCCAAGGAGAGCGCCUUCCGUUCUCCAAUCUACCAGUUGCUUCACCGACUGGUCACAUCCACCAUUUAUCACAGACAGGAGUGUGACAAGGUUCCUUCUUGCAACCUUUUCUAUAUGUGGUGCCUCACUUAGACGGAGGUUCGUCUUCACAUUUCUUUCUCCCUUACUCUUUACUAGUCUGUUAUGGCUUUAAGUUCCACAUCAUUGAGCAUGAUUUUCCGGUGUCACUGGGUUACUAGUUUAUCCCUAUCCUAAUGGGUUGAUACUGGUAGGAUGGUCCCUUAUAUUUAUCUGGGAGUUAGGUACUAUAGCUCUCGGGAAGAUGCGGGUCUGACUAGGAAGGCGGGUCAACCAAAACGGGUACCGGGGGAUGACAUCGUCGAGCUGAUUCAGCAAGUGGAGUUGGAGGUCAUUCCUGAGCCUACCCUUGUGAGCCGUUAGAUACCUAGGCAUGUGGAGCCUGAUCGUCCGGAGUCUACUCUUGGAGAUGAGAUGCGAGGCCUUACCUUUGCAUAGAAGGAACGCCAUUGGAUGAUGGCUUCGCUUGUCGCGGUAAUGCGACAUUUGGGGAUGGACCAUCCGCCCUAUCCUAGUGUGGAUCCCGUUGUACCACCCUCUUCUUAGCCACACAACACUGGUUACGAUGGUGCCGAUCCUUCAGGCACGCAUCCUGGAGACACCGAUGACGAUGACGACGAUGACGAAGAAGAGGAAACCGAGAUGGAGUCGGAGGGUAGUGAGGAGUAGAUUUGUGGGUUUUAUUUUGUAUUUUGAUACUUUAUGAUGUAUUCUGACAUAAUUUAUUUUGUUUGGGUUUGUAUAUAUAUAUAUAUAUAUAUUUAUGGUUUUUAUGUUUCAUUUGUCUAUCCCAAUCAGAGUAUUUGACCUAAGCUAUAGUCAUAAUUCCUAAAGAAAUAUUAAGUUGCUAUUCCCAAGGAAAUACUAAUCCGCUAUAGCUAAACCUAUGCUUUGAAACCAUCUCUAUCACACCUGCUACCCGGCCUUGGCGGAAACACUAAGCAAUGUGACGGUAUAAAGAACGUUAAUCCUAUUAACUUGAGAAUACAUGCAUUUUGAAAGUCAACAUAAUGUUGGUGAGUGCAUGACUAUUUAUUUUGAAUUUCUUUUAAGAAUAUUUUUCUUUUGUGAAAACCUUUCUUAUUUAUUUACCCAGCCAUCUACCUUUUUAGGGUAUCAUUUAUAAACCAUAAAUUACUAUCUUUUCAGGAUAUCUAACGAUCCUAACAUAUUUUAACUACCAUACCCGGCGUCCCUAAUGGUAAUAUAAGCUCUAAGACAAUUUGAAUAUAUUAACAUGAGCCCCUAUAAUCGACACUACGACCGUAAAUGUACCCCUAAUCACGACGCUUCAUUGGAGGUCGAAUAUUAACUUAUAUGGAAGGCAUCCUGUCGGGAUUGUAGCUAGCAAUCGCAGGUGGGGUUGUCAUGACCCCAUAUAGAUCUAUACAUAUCUUCUUAGCUCUCGCAAGAUUAAUGAUUAUAGAUAUUGGGGAUAUGCCGAAUUUAAUCAAGGAUUUUGGAUGAAUAACCAACUCACUAACGCAUUAACCCUAGGCUUUUAUCUUUAUCAUAAUUACCCCUAUACAUACAUACAUACAUACAUACAUACAUACUUACAUACUUAUAUAUAUAUAUAUAUAUAUAUAUAUAUAUAUAUAUAUAUAUAUAUACACACACACACACACACAUAUAUAUAAUAUNAGUCCAGUCUAUAUCGUUGGACCCUCCGGUCCGGUCUAUACAACACAUAGCAUACACAUAUCACAAUGCACAUGAUCUCAUAUAUAUAUAUAUAUACACACACCAUAAAAAUGGUUAUUUUAACAAAGAUAUUUAGGCAGCGUAACAACUAAGUACAAUGCAUAUCCUAAAUCUUGUUUAGCAUAACUCCUACGUAUUUAAGGUUUCCUAGGGAUUUGACCAUUAUAACAUCUAGGUAAUACCUACUCCUAGAUUAUCGGGCAUCAUAUCCUUUAGACACAGAUCAUAGCUUAAAUCUUGGCAUAGUAUUUACAGUUAUAUUAUCCUAAGACAUCUAACUUAUUAUAAAAUGACUUAAUAUUUAUAAAAUAAAUAUCUUUAUAUAAUCAUUUUGUUAAGUAUNUCUAGUAUGUAUAUAUAUAUAUAUAUAUAUAUAUAUAUAGAGAGAGAGAGAGAGAGAGAGAGAGAGAGAUAGGUUCAGGUGUUAAAAGUAAUUAUUGUGUGAUUGUAUGCAUAAAUGUGGGCCAAUCAAAAUUAAAUAAUUAAAUAAAUAAAUAAGGGUAAUUUAGUAAUUUGAUUAGUAACUUCCAAAAAUCAUCCCUAUAUUCAUGGUAUUGACUUUUAACCUAAUUUUCCAAGUUUAUAUUAAACUCAUUUUUUUCUUUAGUCGCUUAAUCUCCACCGAUUACAAGCCCUAGCCGAUGAUACAAAGUCGUCGCUACCAUCGUCCGCCCCAAACAUUUUAAUAUUGGCUUGAAUCCAGCAAUCCAGAAGAAACUCCGUUCAAACGACGAGAACCACAACGUAGAGAACACUAACGACACAUCAUGAUUCGAGAUUCGAGAUUUCUCCUCGUAGUACUGUUGGUAAUGCGAGAGAACACGAGCGAUCAAAUCACGGAGAUGUUCAUCAUCGGAGCUAUGAGCAGAAGUUCGUAAAUUCGCUCGAAGCUCAUCCAGGUAAUGUUCCUAGCGAACCAUCCAUCCUUGGAAAAAAUUCUCGAACUCUCUUUCACUUGUGACGACUGUUCUUCGAGAUUUGGGCGACAUUUUGAAAUCUUCGGAAUUUUUUUGAUUUGAGUGAUGGAAAUUUAUAUGAUUACGUUGGUUAUAUGUUUGGUGGAAUCUUCAACAAAAUUAUUGUUUAAUAAAAGUCACUGUGAUGACCAAUUAUCUGAAGCACACAUAUAUAAUCAACAAAAAUCAUUAUUUAGACAAACAUUAAUUUUUACACAGUUAUAAAUAUAACUGUGAACACAUUCUUAUCAAACCAUUUGGAAAACAUAAAUUUUAAUUAAAGAGAAUAGAGAAGACAAUGAUACAGUUAUGUAAUUAUCUCUUUUUAUAUUUCAAUUUCAAAUAAGAGAAUAUGUAUGCUUAUCAAAAUCGUAUACAUAUUUUAAUUAUGAUAUAUCAUGGAUUUUUUGAAACUAUUUAAGGUAAAUUUCUUUUUCUUCGUUAUUAUACCUUUUUACUUAAUCUUCAAAUGAGUUUUUUAAAUUUGAUUUGAUUUCAAUAUAUAGAAUGGAUGUUUGGGUUGAUUGUUUGACAGAAUGAUAUUUCUUCAUUUAUAGUAUUCUAUUAGAAAAGAAUGUUUUUUAUGAUAAUCAUGAAUAUAUUUUGUUAGAAUCCCCAAAGUAAUAUAAUUAUUGGUAAAUGAAUUCCAAUUCUAUCAAAAUGAAAUCAUGAAUUCCAAUUAUGUUGGAAUGGAAUAUGAAUAUUUUCUCACUAAUUUAUUCAUUGGAUUUGUUUCUACAGACGUUGAUGCUUGAAGAACGGACCACGGAAUUUGAACGACACCUCUUAGCAACAUUAUUCUUUUAGAAUGUAUUAGUGUCUUUGUUAGAUUUUGAUGUUUUUUUCCAUAUUUGAAUUUUUUUUAGUUUUAUUCUUUAAUAAUAAAUGUAAUUCUUAGCAAUUGUUACAUGUAUUCUAUAAGAAUUAAUGUAAUUUUUGUUUUAAUUCUUCAAUUGAUGGUUCGAGAAUUUUGUUAUUCUACAAGAAAUUUUUAAAGUCGUGAUCAAGAAAUAUGUUCAAGAAUAUUUUUAUUAUUUUAUGGUUCAAAAAUAUUUUUAUUUUUGAACAUAGUCAAACAUAUUCUGUCAGAAUGUCUGAAUUAAAAACCUAAGAAUUCAUGAAAUCAGAUUUUUUAAAAUUAAUAGAAUUUAUGAUCCCUUAAAAUAUGCGAAUUUUCUUUAUUAAAUCUAUAUUAAUUGACUGAAAUACCCUUAUAGUUAAAUUAGAUGAUAUUUUUUAAUUAUAUUUAAUUCAAUAAUAUGUAUUGAUCACUUUCUUAAAAUAAGUAAAAUGAUUGACCCACAUUUAUGCAUACAAUAACACAAUAAUUACUUUGAAUAUAAUAACUUAAGCCAAUAUAACAACUACCCCUCCUCCUUUAGCCACCCUAUGUCCCUACUUUCCUACGCCACCACUAAUCACCAUUGCAGGCGACCAUAUCUCUAACAACGACUCCUCUUUCUCUACAUAUUUGAUAUGUGCCCUCACAUGAUCUGCUCCUUCGCCUCUAUCACCCCUCACCAAAUGUGAUCAUCUACCUAUAUGGUAUAUCAUUCGGUAAAUUUGCCCCUCCGAGUAUUGAAUCCGUUAGUUCUAUUCUUUUUACAUUUUGAUUUUAAUUUGGAAAUUUAGCCUUUUAUUUUGAUUUAAUAUUUUUUUUAAUUGGAAACAAAAUAAUGUAUUUCACUUUUUUAUUUAUUAAUUUUGCUUUGAAUUUAUUUUUAAAUUUCUCCGGUAAAUGAAAAUUUGACAGGGUUUGGUGGAGAACGAUGGUAAACGGUGGUAUUGACGGAUAUGUUGAUGCCAAGAUUGAAGGGAAAAGUGAUGGAGUCGGCGGUGGAAUAUGGUGGUGGUGGUAGGCGAUGGAAAAAAAACAAAAAUUAAAAAAUGAAACUCGUUAUUUAUUUAGUAAUAAUAAAUAUUCUAAAAAGCAUAUAACAUAAAUAUAGAAAAAAAAAAAGAAAAAAAAAAAGAAGGCAAAAUAAAAUCAUUAUGGUUUUUUCUUUAUGAGUAUUUAAUGGACGUUUGCAGACGGUAACAACGGUAAAAGAGGGAAAAACAAAUAGAUAGUUAAUGGAUUUGUCAAACAUAAGGAGCAUUGUUGUAAACUUUUAAAAACUACAAUCAAACCCAAAAAAACGUCUACUACAAGGACUAAAAGCGUAGCUUGCUAUUUAUUACUAUUUGAAAAUUGACAACAUUACUCGCUUUAAAACCAGUGGUUUUGCCACCUGUUUUUUACGCCAUACAAAGUGGGAGGCUGUUUGACUGUUUCACUCUACUGUCUGUGUGCUUGCUUCUCUAUUUAUAUCCUACUUAUGGUUUUUCUGUUCAUUCAUCGAUCACUUGUGCAACAAACAUACUUUCGAUUCAAACAAAAAAUCUACUUCGUCUAAUUUUUAACCAUCUUCAAGAUUUAAUUAUGAGUUUCAGAAGCAGAGCAUGGAUGGUGGCCGGAACUGUCGGAGUUGUGGAAGCCCUCAAAGAUCAAGGCUUUGCACGAUGGAACACCACCAUCAGGACCAUCCACCACCACGCCAAGUCAAAUCUCCGAUCAAUUUCUCAGACCAAGAAGUUGUCUUCACCGGCGGCCAUGGCUUCAGGCGGAGGCGUAGACGAGAGGGCGAAGCAAUCAGAGGAGUCGUUGAGAAAAGUCAUGUAUUUGAGCUGUUGGGGUCCCAAUUGAUCAAACCCCUUGCAACUGUUAUUGAUUUUAGCCUUUUAGACACCAGAUGAAAUGUACAUGUAAUUAUGCAUUGUGUACAACGUUUAUAAUGAAUAUUGAAAAUCGUUUCUGAUCAAAGAUGGUUUAUGUAUGAAUUAUGAUAUGAUGUGAUUUGCAAUUUCAGUAGAAGAAAUCAAAUACUGUAUAUUUUGAUCAUCACUAAGCGUUCAUAAAUCUUAGCUACUGAUGUAGUUGUGGAGCAACAUGGAAACGUUGUUCGAGCUACUAAAAUGUCAUGGCAUCUAAAAGAACAUCAAGUUUAUAAAAAUGCAACCCUUUCUUCUGAAAUAUACAUUAUUAUUAGUUGCCUAAAAACUACUAAUCCUGAAAAAUCAAAUAUUAGAUGCUAGAUUUAUUUUCCAUAUCAAUGUUGAGAAAAUAAGAAUUAUUUGAACUUUUUAUGUCGCUCCAAUUAACGAUUAAACAAAUCUGAAAAUUGGAUCUCUUGCUCUUUGUGUAAUAUAAAUAUUAACUUAUGGGUUUUUAAAUAUACAUGCUACAAUCAAAAUGAAUCGACUUGUGUGUUUAUUUCAUUAGCAGUUAUACUAUACAAUAUUUUUUAUUUCUUCAAACAAUUUUAUCAUAUUUAAGUUUGGGACUGACUAUAUUAAAACUAACUUAUAUUUAUCAGCAAAAUAACUUUUUAGUUUAUGUGAUGUCAAAACGGAGUUAAAAAAAAAAACAAAUAUUUGGUUUAACUUAAUCAAUAUCAAAGUAGAUAAUUUAUUUUUUAAUGUUUGGUAAUGAUGUUUAUAUGUAUAAUCUUGUUUUUAAAUAGCGUAAAGCGCCCCAAAGCGCUUUAGGCUUUAAAAGAAAAAGCACUGAGCGCUAAGCGAAAGCUCCCGCUUUGAGCACAGGAAGCGUUCAAAAUUAAAGAAUUGAAAAUAUGGAAAUUAUAUAUAAAAUUAUAAAUACUUAAAAAAAACCCUGUAUUUCAUAAGGCAUCAAUUUCAAAAGUGGCAUAAGAUAUGAUGAGAAAAAAGAAGUAUCAUUUUAGAUCCUAAAUUCCUAAUCCUUAAUCAUAAUUCAUAAAAACUAAAAAUUAGCAAAACAUCAUCAUCAUCACCAACUUGGACAACAUCAUCUCCUCCACCAUCACUUAUUAUGAUAUCUUCUUACUCCUCUUUAUCCACCAAAGAAAUUCUAGAUCAUUGAAGGCUAUAUAAAAUUGGUGAAGAGAUGGAGAAGCAUAAAAGAUCUAAGAAGUUGUACCUUGUUUUGAUAUUGAUUGUCGAUUCCAACAAUUGUACUCAGAGGAGGAUGAAGAUAAAAAUAGAGAAGAAGAAACGUUUUCCCGCUACUGAUGUUGUCUUUGUUGUGCGACAUAUGAAGUUUAAUUCUAAUAACCCUACGUAUCUAAUUAAAAACAGACUAAACCUAACCCAGCUAAUUAAAUAAGCCCACUACCAAAGGGCCAAUGGCCUAGCGGUAUGGAGUGACCAUCUCAUAUGAGAGGUCAGAGGUUCAAUUAUCGGUUGAGACAUAAGUGGUUAUUUUGAAAUAGAUUAGUUGAUUUGCCGUUUAAAAAAAUAAAAUAAGAUAAAAUAAAAUAAAAUAAAAAAUAAGCCCACUAUGCCUAAAGCAUGCCUAAGAACCACUUUACCGAAUAGAAAAAACGGCAAAAAACGCCGAUUUUAGGAAUUUGAGCGCAUAAGUUAUACAAAAGUGUUUUAGUUUUUCACCUGAGCGCUUAGCGCUUUAAGCGACUUGAAGCGGCGGUUUUUAAAACCAAGUGUAUAAUGAUAAAAUAACUUAAAGAAAGAUCAUCAUAUAAGUCACUAAGUUAAAAAAAAAAUAAAAAAAAAUAAAAAAAAAAACUUUUCAAAAUCUUUUACAAAAUCAAUAAUUACUUAUAAAAAUCUUUCUAUUCAAAAAUUUAAUACUCAUUGUUACACUUUUGUUAAAGCUAAAUAACACAAUAAUCAAUUCAUAUCAACAAUAGAAACACCCUAAUCUCCUUCAAACAUUUUAUAUAAAAAAUAGUUAAAUCAGUUAAUUAUGUGUAUAAAAAGGCUUUUAGCCCAAUUGUAUAGAUGUUAGUUGACGGUGAAUUUAAGGAAUAGAUUAGAUUUUUAUUUUAAAAAAAAAUAUGGGUAUUUUUUAAUACAAAAUAAGUAAAUAGCGUCCAGUUAGCCCAUAUAUGAUAUAUCUCCAAUUCUCCACAACUUGCCGCACGUUUUUUAUUUUAAAAGCAACGAAAAUAAAAAUAUGUAUAAAUAUAUAUAUAUAUAAAGUAACAAAGAUAAAGAUAUGGAAGUGACAGCUUUGAAACCAUUGGCCUUUGCCUCCUGUUUUUAAUCACCCCAUGAGACUAAGAGGUUGUUUCACUCUCUUGUCUGUGUGCUUGUCAUCUCUAUUUAUAUCCUACUUCUAGUUUUUUCAUUUUUCAUCAACCACACUUGUGCAACAAACAUACUUCCGAUUCAAAAGAAACCAAUUUCGUCUAAUUAUUAACCAUCUACAAGAUCAUUCAAUUAUGAGUUUCAGAAGCAGAGCAUGGAUGGUGGCCGGAGCUGUCGGAGUGGUGGAAGCUCUCAAAGAUCAAGGCUUUGCACGAUGGAACACCACCAUCAGGACCAUCCACCACCACGCCAAGUCAAAUCUCCGAUCAAUCGCCAAGGCCAAAAUCUUGACUUCGCCGGCGGCUAUGGCUUCUAGCAGAGACGUGGAAGAGAAGUCGAAGCAAUCAGAAGAAUCAUUGAGAAAAGUAAUGUACUUGAGCUGUUGGGGUCCUAAUUAAUCCAUGAAUGCGAGAAAGGUUAUACAUCGAGAUUCUGGAUCUAGAUUCGAAGUGUCUGGAGAUAUUUCAAACAACCCAGUAGUAGAUGAAGGGUUUAGUCGGUGGAAUUGCACAAUAAAGAGUACCCACCACCAUGAGAUCGACGUCCAAACUUGGGCUAAAUGCGAGUCCACAUCGCCAUUUGUUUGAUGAGUUCGGGUUUGUAUUAGUUAACAUCGAAACUCUAAUGGAAAGGUGGAUAGAAAUAUAUUUUUGAGAUGCAUGUAGAUGUACCCUCUUUUCCACAAGUACAAAUACACUACUAGUUUAUGUAUCAUAUACCCAAUAAAAACAAAUUGUUUCAUAUUUAUAAUAUAUCUAUGAUAACUCAACAGUCAAUACGCAUAUGAAAG